rnacentral:lncRNA from 10 species
UUAGUAGAGACGGGGCUUCGCCAUGUUGGCCAGGCUGGUUUCAAACUCCUGACCUCAGGUGAUCCGCCCACCUCGGCCUCCCAAAGUAUUGGGAUUACCGGCGUGAGCCACGGCGCCCGGCCCGGCAAGCCUUCCUACGUCUCCUUCGUCGGAUGGGAAGGUUGCAAGAGGGGUUCACCAGGUCUUUGGCCGCUGCUCUCCGCACCCACCCACUCAACCCCCAAAUUAUUACACAGAAAAACUACUUUUCUGGAAUUUCUUCCUGGUGAUCUGACCAAAUUCAGCCAACCGCUUAAUUUUGCAGAUAAGGAAAUAGGCCCGGAGGGGAAAGUGACUUUCUGGAUCACACAGCUGGUUAAGUGAUAGAGCCAGAAAUAUGUCUUUUACUCUGCCCACCAUCCUAUUUAUUAAUAAAACCAACCUUUAGAUUCUUAAAUGUUUUUCUUGGAGCAAAGGGCAAGCCUAGAGGCGCCUUUUGCCAAACCCCUGGGUCGCCACUCAAUUCACUUUUCGGAAACCUCCUCCUUAUCACUUGAUAAUUAUGAUCCUGGGGGAGUUGAGAGGAUGAGUCCUCCCAAGAGUCAUGUGUGGUCACUUACCAUCUCAGGGACUCUGAGCCACAGUUGUUUCUUAGAGUAUUUUGAUUGGGGGCGGUGGGGAGGGGUGAAGAAAGAA